AGUAACGCGUGAGGAACCUGCCUUUCAGAGGGGGACAACAGUUGGAAACGACUGCUAAUACCGCAUAACACAUAGGUGUCGCAUGGCAUUUAUGUCAAAGAUUUAUCGCUGAAAGAUGGCCUCGCGUCUGAUUAGCUAGUUGGUAGGGUAACGGCCUACCAAGGCGACGAUCAGUAGCCGGACUGAGAGGUUGGCCGGCCACAUUGGGACUGAGAUACGGCCCAGACUCCUACGGAAGGCAGCAG
rnacentral:rRNA from 1 species